rnacentral:rRNA from 1 species
AGUGAACGCUGGCGGUAGGCCUAACACAUGCAAGUCGAACGGCAGCACAGUAAGAGCUUGCUCUUACGGGUGGCGAGUGGCGGACGGGUGAGGAAUACAUCGGAAUCUACUUUUUCGUGGGGGAUAACGUAGGGAAACUUACGCUAAUACCGCAUACGACCUACGGGUGAAAGCAGGGGAUCUUCGGACCUUGCGCGAUUGAAUGAGCCGAUGUCGGAUUAGCUAGUUGGCGGGGUAAAGGCCCACCAAGGCGACGAUCCGUAGCUGGUCUGAGAGGAUGUACACCCACACGGAAGCGGAGACGCGGCCGACACCCCUAGGGGGGGAAGCAGGGGGAAAGAUGGAAAAAGGGGGGCAAGCUGGACCCAGCAAUCCCGCGUGGGGGAAGAAGGCUUGGGGUUUGAAAACCCUUUUUGUGGGGAAAAAAAAGCAGGGGGUUAAUACCCCGCUGUUCUGACGGUACCAAAAGAAUAAGCACCGGCUACCUUCGU